GUUGUUAGAAAAAAAUUGUAUGUUAUACUGUUAUAUAUGUUAAAUACAUUAUUCAAAAAAUUAAAGGUAACCUCCAAAAUCAGAGAGACAUGAUAUAUAGCCUUCACACCAGGUGAAAAAAGAAAUUUUUGCUAAUCUAACUGGAACCAGGAAAGGAGAAAAGAAAGAAAAAUAGAAGUAUAAAUAGAAAACACAAAAUAGGAUGAUAGAGUAUGUCCAAAUACAUCAGAACACAACCAGUGCAUCUCCAACUACACUCACCAAUUAAAAGACUUAGGUUAGGGGCUGGCCCGAUGGUACAGCGGUUAAGUGCACAUGUUCCACUUCAGCGGCCUGGGGUUCACUGGUUCAGAUGCCAGGUGCAGACAUGGCACCACUUGGCUAAGCCAUGCUGUGGUAGGCGUCCCACAUAUAAAGUAGAGGAAGAUGGGCACAAUGUUGGCUCAGGGCCAGUCUUCCUCAGCAAAAAGAGGAGGAUUGGCAGCAGUUAGGUCAGGGCUAAUCUUCCUCAAAAAAAAAAAAAGAUUAUCAGAAUCAAUUUGAUGUUGAAAUCGUCCAGAAGACAUAGCUAAGCAAAGACUUGCAGGAGGGUUGAAAAUGAAGGGAUACGAAAGGAGCAGCAGGAAAUACUGGCUGAACCACAGAGAGCAUGGCUCUAUUAAGAUCGGGUAAAAGAGAACUUAGCCACUAAUAAAAAUAAAGAUAGGAAUAGAUCCUUUAAAGAAAUGUAGGAAUGCAUGAAAAAGUACAGGGUAGAAGAGAAAUCACUGUGUAGAGGCAACUACUGUUAACAUUUUGGAUAUUUUCUUUGAAUAUUUUCCUUUGCUUUUUCCAUGACUGGAAAUAGCUGUGUAGUUUUUUAUGCCAUAGAAAAUUAAUAUAUGAUAAUUAUGGAAAAAUUUUGACAAUGCCUAAAAGUAAAAAGGGGAAAAUAAAAAUUAGCCUUAUACUCAGAGCUAAUCCUAUUACCAUUUCACACAUAUCUUUCCAGAUAUUUUGAUGCAAAUGUAUAAAUAUACAUCUUUUUAAAAAAAUGGCAUUGUAAUAUAUGCCCCCCUUUCACCCAAGGAUAUAAUGUAAAAAUCUGUAUCAAUAAAUAUUCCUCCGUAUCGCUUGAAUGCAUAUAUAUUAUCCAUUGUGUAACUGUGCACUGACAUUUCUCAAUGCACAUUCUCACAAAGUUGAAAUAAUACUGUGUAUCAUUUUCCAUCUUGCUUUUUUCACUUACUAUAAAAUAAGCAAUUUCUCAUGUUAUUGAGAUUUUUUUCAUAAAGAUAAAUUUGAAUGAUCAAAUAAUAUUUUAUGUCUGUGCAUAACUGACUUAGCUUAUUACUCUAUUGUUGAAUAUUUAAGUUGUUCACAAUUUUUCACUUAUAGAUGCUGCAACAAUAAUCACUUGUCAGAGUAAUUUUUUUUGGUUAGGAAGAUUCACUGAGACAGCAUCCGUUGCCAAUCUUCCUUUUUUUGCUUGAGGAAGAUUAGCCCUGAGCUAACAUCUGUGCCAAUCUUCCUCUAUUUUAUAUGUGGGUCACCGCCACAGUGUGGCUUGACGAGUGGUGUAGGUCCUUGCCCAGGAUCCAAAUCCGUGAACCCCAGCCACUGAGGCAGAGUGUGUGAACUUAACCACUACACCUUGGGGCCAGCCCCAGAGUAAUUAUUUUAAUGAGACUUAAGUCCCCUAGAUUUUCCCCCAAAGUUAUUCUAAAUUCAAGGAAGUCAUCAGCAAGGCAUUAAUUGAAUGUCUAAUUAGUAAUUAAUACUUAUACAAUGAGCAUAUUUGCCCUGGGUAAGUCAAAUUUAUGAUUUAAUAAUGUUGAAUUGAAUUGCUGAUUACGUCCUUCAUAGUACAGUCAAUCUUCUUAGGAAAUCUAUGUGGAUAAGACAGUGGCUUCUGUUUUAUAAGAUUUCAGCAGCUUCUUACAAUUUUUAGGUGUUACAGCCUUUUCUAGUUGCUUCUUUGCUUUUUCGUUAUUUAAUGGGGCAAAUCUAGGAUUUAUUUGAUGCUAAGUCUUUGGUAACAUGAUCCCCGAUUCGCAACAUUGUUCUUCCCUGAAUCUCUGCUUCUCUUCUUCCUGAGGACUGCUGGGAAGGCCCCGUUGCCUGAAGCUGUGAUGUCCCAGGAAUCAAGGGAGCAGGCCCAGCAUGGGGCCACAUGAGGAGCUGGAUCUGCAGACUGAGGGGGAGGGGCAAAGGCAGACAUUAGAAGUCAGAGAAUUGUGCCAGGACUUGAAAAGCCAGGAACAGAAGAGAGAUUUGAUGCAGAGUCUGCAGUCUGGGCCUGUUUCUGCUGGCUUUCUUGCAUUUACCUCCAUAUGGUGCAAGGAGUGGGUUCAGAGUCAGGAACAGCACUGUCACCCACAGGCUCCUCCUCACCCCCCUCACCUUACUUGCUUCCAUGGGUUCGGUGGUGUCACAGCUUCCCUAUGUUCACAAGGAGGAGGGCCCUGUGUUGGUUUCCCGUGGCUGCUGGAAUAAGUUACCACAAACCCAGUGGCUGAAAACAACGCAGACUUAUCAUCUCACAGUUCUGGAGGUCAGACGUCUGACGCGGGUCUCACUGCCUGGAAGCGGGGUGUUGCCAGGCCUGCGCCCCUUCCUGGAGGCUACAGUGGAGAGUCUGUUUCCAUGCCUUCUCCAUAAAAGAUCAGUCCUCGGACUUAAAAGAUGUCUAGAGGAAACCUUUGGCUGUGUGGUUGCUUGCAUGGAGGCCACCAAGCCUGUACCACAGACGUCCCUUUUGAAAACUAAACAGCCCCAAGGAGGAUACGUUCUGCAAAGCCCACUUCAGAUCUGGCCACAGAGAAGUAUGGACAGGAAGACCCUCCCAUAGGACAACACCUAGGGUCAUGGAGAGGAAGGGAGAAGGAUUCAAGGGAGAGGUUCCCACCUCCCCCGCCCACCCACUCCCAGGCAGCAAGAAUAGCAACGCCAAGUGGGAUAACCUGGGAAUUUACUCCAGUCCCAGGGCAGGGACACUGCAAUGACUGCCCUGCUGGGUUUGGUGACUGCUGUGAACCACAGGCACCUGGGUCUUCCCCAUUCGUCUCUUUUUCAAGUAGAUUGUUUUAAAAAAAUAUAUUGGCUAUCCCAUUCCUGCUCUACAACUUAUAGCAGAAAGAUUGGAGGCAAGGAACUUGUCUUCUAGUUUAUAGGCUGCCAGACCAUAAGGAAUUAUAUGUGGACGUCCAGAGAUUGUGAUUUAGCAGGAUGCAGAAACUGGAUGGGACUUUGGUGGUUUCUGACCCCAGGGAGGAAACAAAUGUGUGGAGGAAGGGUGCAUGUGGAUAUUGGGGUGGCUACAGGGCAGAAUAGGCCAGAGACCGUUAGUGGCCCCUCAAUAACUCUUCUUUCUUAGUAUUAGAAGUCUUGGCCAGCCUGGUGGCGUAAUUUGUGUGCUCUGCUUCAAUGGCUGAGUGUUCAGAUCCUGGGUGCAGACCUACACACUGCUCCUCAAGCCAUGAUGUGGUGGCAUCCCACAUACAAAAUAGAGGAAGAUUGGCACAGAUGUUAGCUCAGGGACAAUCUUCCUCACCGAAAAAAAAAAGGAAAAGGGGCGAGCCCAGUGGUGUAAUGGUUAAGUUCUCAUGCUCUGCUUUGACAGCCUGAUGUUUGCAGGUUUGGAUCCCAGGCCUGGACCUGCGCACUGCUCAUCAGGCCAUACUGUGGCAGGCGUCCACAUACAGAGUGGAGGAGGAUUGGUACAGAUGUCAGCUCGACUACAGUCUUCCUUAGGCAGAGGGGGGAGGAUUGGCAACACAUGUUGGCUCACGGCCAAUCUCCCCCCUCCUCACCCCCCCGAAAGAAUGGAGAUUGUUAAAAAACAACAACAACAACAACAGAGUCUUCAGCUUGGCGUGUGGCUGCCCAGAAAGGCUGUAUACUUCCCAGCCUUGCUUGCAGCUAGAGGACUCGCGUGAUUAAGUCCUGGGUAAUGGGAUCAGAGUAGCGGUGAUAUUUGUGGCUUCUGGGUGGCACUCUUCAAGGAGUAGCAUACCCCUUCCUCUUUUCCUUCUUGCUGGUCAAAAUGUGAUAUGACCUUGAGCCAUGUGGGACCGUGUACACCAAGAGAGCACCCUGUGGAUGGCGGAGCAACGAGAUGGAAGAACUCGGGCCUGACGCUGCGGAGCGACACAGCUGACUUUCACAGGAAAGAGAGACAUCCUUUCUCCUGUAAAGCCAGUGCAGUCGCGUGUCACUUAGUGAUAGCGACGCAUUCUGAGAAAUGGCUCGUUAAUCGAUUUCGUUAUUUUUAUGAACAUCACAGAGUGUAGGUACAUAGACCUAGAUGGCACAGCCUACUACACACCUAGGCUCUAAGGCACAGAUUAGAUUAUAAGAUUAGAUUAUAAGAUUAUAUGGGACCACGGUUGUGCAUGUGGUCUGUCGUUGACCACGACAUCGAGAUGCAGCACUUGACUUAUUAUUUUAAGCCUAUCUGUGUGGCUGAAUCUAUCUAACUUUCACAAACAUGUCGAGUUUCAGGUGCUUUAGGAAAUUUCUCAUGAAAAGUGUCAAACAUAUACAAAAGUUGAAAGAAUAGUAUAAUAGCUUCAUGUGAACUCACCUGUAGCUUCAACAACUACCAUUUCAUCUAUCUGAUUUCAGCUAAACCCACAAUCCCUUCUCUCCACUGGAGUAUUUUGAAGCAAAUCCCAAAUAUCAUAUCAUUUCUUCUGUAAAUACUUUAGCAUGUAUUUCUAAAAGAUAAGAAUUCUUUUUCAAGAAUAAGAGUUUCAAAUGCUUUUGAGUAAAACAAAUGCCGCUAUCUAGUAGAGUUGAGCAUAUCUCUUUAACAUUCAGGAGAAUGGUCCAGCUUGAAGGUACUGCCUCAAGAGGCAUCCUCAUGUGGAUGGUGUUUAAGGCCUCGGCAGUAGAUGAAAUAACCCAAGGAAACUGGUUGAAAACAGAGGAAUUGCAUCAGUUCAGACGAGCACAGUUUUCUUUCCCUGGCGUCAGGCAGCAUGGGGAAUUGGGAAAGACGGGGUAAAUGCACAGGGAUAAGAAGAUUUUGUGGACAUUGUUUCCACUACCCAAAAUCCAUUCCUCAUCUUGAUUUGUUUCUUUUUUUAAAUAUUGGCCCUAAGCUAACAUCUAUUGCCAGUCUUUUUCUUCUUCUUCUUCUCCCCAUAGCCCCCCAGUAAAUAGUUGUAGAUUCUAGUUGUAGGUCCUUCUAGUUCUUCUAUGUGAGACACAGCCUCAGCUUGAUGCCUUGAUGAGCAGUACUAGGUCUGUGCCCAGGAUCCGAAAUGGUGAAACCCUGGGCCGCCAAAGCAGUACAUGUGAACUUCACCACUCGGCCACGGGGCCAGCCCCCCAUCUUGAUUUUCUUUGGAGACAACCACCCUAGCUCCAAUCUCAUUUUGUAGGUCUCAGUUAUUUGUUCAGGGUUGGUCAUGUGUGCUAGUCACAGUUGAUGAGAUGCAAGGAAUGUUUGCUGAGACUUCUAGGAAAUCCUCUCAGCUCUUCAGGAACUACUUGCAUCUGCCUGGAUGGUGUGGUGUGAUGGAAUGUGCUGGAACUGCUGCUGUCGUUUUGUUCUCAUGGGAGGAUUCUAGAACUACCCGAGGGCCUUGGUGUAGAGACAGGGGAUGAAGCCAACACUGAGUGGACAGAUGGAGAGAAACCCAGUCCUUAAUGACAUGGUUUGUGCUGCAGGUUCAAGCUUCUCCCAGCCAGCCUUCAGUCUGAAUCUUGGAGUUAUGAGUCAUGAGCUAACAAUUUGACUUAGUUGUUUCAACUGCUUUACGCUGGAUUUUCUGUCACUUGUAAUACAAAGCAUUCUGACUGAUAGAGUAGGCUGUGAGGUCAAUGUUUUUCAAGAGCUCGAGGAACCCCAGUGCUGGUCAUCUCAGUUUUAACAUGGGCAGGUGAUAUGUUUCCGUAAGAAAAAUAACUAGAUUAUGUCCUCUGCUCAAUAUAUUUCCUUGGUGUUCAGUAGCAAUAACCGCAUAGUGCGUUUUGGCAGACAGGUGGAUUUCCUGCAGGCUUUGUCUAGUGGCUUAUGGCUUCUACAGCUACUGGCCAGUUGCAAGGGGUAAUGUGGUGCUUAAAGGUAUGGGUAAGUAGCAGAUGUGGAACCAGCUGCUGUGAAAGAAUGUGUUCUGGGUAGAGAAAUGCAGUGAGUUGUGUAUAAAAUCUGCUUUGAUUAUUCUCUGUAGAAGCACAGCGUGGAGGUAUUGCUCUAAGACGUACCUGACACACCCAACCAGGUGGACAGCAGGAUGCAAAAUUAUAUCUUUUUGACUGGUAUCCUUCAAAACAGCAGCCAAACUGAUGUGAAAAGUUGUGGGGGUUUUUGGGGAUAGUUCUUAGAGGUGGAUAUUUCUUUGACAAAGUAUUGGGGAGAAGGAGGGUGGACGCUGUUAAUGGAGGGCGAGAGCAGGAGACAAAACGUGCCACGUUGAUGAGGGAUACCUCCACCUUCACAGUUAUGUUGCAGUCACGGGGCCAUCAUCACCUAAAUGUGGUUUCAUUCUGUAGCAUCGACACUUCAAGUAAUCAUUAAACAAAGAGUGCUCAGUGGCUGGUGAUGUGGUCAAUUACCAGUCACCCCUAAAUGAUUUUCCUACAUGCAAAAGGGGGACUCUCUUUUCCUUUUUAUGUUUUGUUGAGAACAAAUGGCAGCCAUGAGGACUAUUUGCCAGAAAGAGUACUCACACUUUCCAAUGAGUUAUUUGCCAGGGAAAUUAGCUGAGGUCACAUAUCUCUUAUUAGGUAAAUGGAAGACAGCUUAUGAAUAUUUCAAAAAAGCAAUUUACACCUAUUUGAAUUUAGCUCAGAGUACUACGGUUUGUUAAAACUCCGUAGACAAGGGCCUGUAGAAGGACGACUUAUUUCCGUUUUUAAGUACCCAGAACCUGGCAUUUUGAGAAGCCAGAAGGGAUUUAAUAUUUAAUUUUAAAGUAUUUAUGAAUAUUUGCGUUAGCAAAUCAAGCAUCUUUUUUGGAAUUUAGAUUCCAGGGUAAUAGGAUUAGUAACUACAUUUGUCAAUAUUAGGGUGGAGAGGGGCAGCUGUCUUAGAAAAAGAGGGCAAAAUAGCCCAAGCUGUGGGGGGGACCCCCGGAGACAAGAGUACAGAGCCCCCUGCUGGCAAACACCAGCAAAGAAGGACAGAGACUGAACAGAAGCGUUGACGAAACGCUGUUGGAAAUAGUGAGGUGGCUUAGAAGGCGAAGGUUCAGGUUGACAAGGCAGACUGGGUCUGUUGUCACCCAUGGCAGGGGAAGCUGAGAGCCUGCAGGGCUGGAGGGCCUUGCUGUGUCCUGAGCGACAGGCGUAAAAGGCUACCCAACUGCACAAAGGAAGAUUGCGGAUGACCUGAGCAGGAGUCAGAGAAUCAGUCCAGAAGCAGAAUGAGCAGCCAAGUCACAGACCAGAGUUAUGAGUGUCGGUCUCACGGGGGAUUAAUGGAUUGGUCAGCACAGGAGGGGCAGUGCAGGUCUCAGGGGCAAGUUUUGCCAACAAUUUGUCCAGAACUGGAGGGAGUUUUUAAGAUGGUAGCCCGCGAAAGUUCCUGGCUAGGAACCCAAAGUGCAGGUUCAUCUAAUAUCUACCUUCACCCCUGUCCCCACCCCCGGCUUAUUUAUGAAGAAUACUGGGAGCUGUGGCUUUGCUGUGACCAUGGAACCUCACAGAGCUCACUAUUUGAGAUCACCACCUAAUACAGCUGGGCCCCUAACUUCUGGACCACCCUCAGGCAUCCAUCCCAUUUCCCUGAGGGCAAGGACUGUGAUUUCUAAAAAAAUCUCUUUAGCUCAGACCCUCCCUAAUACAGUGUCUGGCUCAGAGCAGAUGCUUAAUCCAUAUUUGGGAAAAAUGGAUUAAUCAUCAGACCAGACCUGUGGGAGGCCAACAAUCUGGUGAUGUCUCAGAAGGGUAAUUUACUUAUACGUUCAUUUACUUCUCACUUUAUUUCCAUUAUGUCUUCUUUCACAAGGGAUUUGGAAAAGCUUAUAAGCAUACGUAUGAUCAAAUAGAAAAUAUAAAUAAUAAAUGAAGCCAGGAUCGUUAGAAACAUACAUUAGACAAAAACAAGUCAGCGGAGAGAAAGAGUUAUGCAGGCAAUAGGGCUCCAUAUAAGUAUCUGAGCCACAGAUUCAGAUUUGUUUUCCGCUGAAAAAAUGAAGGCCAGCCUUAGUUCUCUGGACUACAAAGGCAAAGCAUUCUAGUUUCUCACGCUUUUACUGGAGCUUAGCUCUAAAAUAAAUCUCUGGUAUGGGGCUCUGUACCUGGAGACUGAGUGAUGUAAACACAGUCCUCAACGAUGUUCUUACAGCAAAUCCAACAGGGCUUUUCUAAUAUCAUCUCACAGGUGAAACCUGAGGCCCGUCCCAUAGCGCAACUCAUUGAAAGCGAUUUUAUCGGAGACCAAGGAAAUAUGGUUUAACACUGAAACUUUCUAAAAUUUUGGCUGACUCAGAGAAUACAUCUAGAAAAUCCAGAUGAGUGCAAGUCCUUCAGACAAUUCUCCGUUAAGAUCGCCUCCUGGAACCAGACUUUUCAUAAGGGUUGGGAGCAGGUCAUUGGAGUUCUGUCUUCUCUCGAGGCCUGAAGGGACGUUGUUCUAUUGUGUUCAUUUAGAGUGGAAACGUAUACUACAGCUAUCAAAGGAGAUUUUUUUACAAGCUUUUAUGAAGAUUGAGGCAUCUUACCAAAACCUCUUCCGGGUGGGUGACUCGCUAGCCCUCUCUUCUGGUUGUCUGUUGCUACCUAGCAAACUGUCUUAAAACCUCGUGGCUUAAAACAACAGUGGUCAUUAUAAUUAUUUCUCAUGGUUAUGGGGGUUGACUGGGCUCAACAAGGCGGUUCUCGCUCAGCUUUUCUCGUGACUGGGUCUGGAGUCAUCUGCAGUCCUGCUCACGCACACGUCUGGUGCAAGGCUGAGAAGACUCAGUCAGCCGGGGCAGGAACAGCUGGGCUCUUCGGGCUACUCAGUCUCAGUGUAGUUUCGGCACACGGUCUCUCACACAGCAUGGCUUCAGGAGAGCUGGACUUCUGACAUGGUGGCUCAGGAAGAGAGAGAGAGAGAGAAAGAGAAGCAGGUGGAAGUCAUCUGCCUCCUUGACCUAGACUUGGAAGUCACACACUGUCAUUUCUACCACAUUCUAUUCAUUGACGCAUGCACAAAGUUCUGCCCAGGGUCAAGAAGAAAGAACAUAGACUCCAGGAGAUAUUGAUGGGGAAGCAGCAGGGUUUGCAAGAGCAUGUGGGACCAGAAAUAUUGUUGUAGCCAUCUUGCAAAAUACCACCUGCCCACCGUCCUCACUUCAAAGGGCCGCUCAGGGAGAACCUGGAACCAAGCAGGAUUGUCCUGAAGGCCUACUCUGGGCCUUCAAUAAGUGAACAGAUUCAAGUUCCCCAAGUCUUUGUAUCAUAGAAUGUAGAGGAGGGACUUAGCAUGCAAGAUUUUCAAAGAAGCUUUUACCAAUCACUCAUCAGAGACAGUGAAAACUGUAGAAUGCUCCCAUGAAAAGUCCAGUUUUGAGUAAUGUUGAAGCCAGUCCUGGUUCAUGUCUCCAGCAGGGACGAUGCAGCCCGGUCACCAAGUGUUUUUUUGUCACUCGAAGAACAGCUAAAACAUGUGGGAAGGAGGGAGCUCAUAGUCCUGCUUUAAGCCCCUCAAUAUAGCUAUCUGGUUUCCUGGAGACAGAUCUGUCAGAAGACAGAUACAGAUUCUUGCUAAGAUAUUCAAAUGCAGCUUUUGUGUAAGAACCAAUAGAUAGGAGUUAAUACUGUGCUCAGGAAGCUUAACCCAGAGUCGUUCAUUCUCGUCCAGGGGUAAAGGCAGAGGAGAAGUAAAUUAAAAACAAGCAGGAAAAAUCAACUCUAUAGUUCAUUUAUUAAAAAUUUUAAGUUAUGCCCAUUUAAUUCCAAUAAUGUGAGGCCACUAACAAUCUGUUAUGUUAUUCUUGAUAAUUUUUUCCAUUAGGUAGUAGUAUAGUGUCUGUGCUUGCAACUUUAUUGAAUCUUCUAUAAAAUAUUGGUCCAGAAAUCCUCAGUCUGACAUAUUUUAAGGAAGAAAUAGGCAUAAAGUUUUUUGGCCCUGAGCUAACACCUGUUGCUAAUCUUCCUCUUUUUCUUUUCCCUCCCCAACCCACUCUCCACUCCCCACCGCACCCCCCUACAUAGUUAUAGGUCCUUCUAGUUCUGCUACGCGGGACGCCACCUCAGCAUGGCCGGGUGACCAGAUGAGCGGUGCUGGGUCUGCACCCAGGAUCCGAACCAGCGAACCUCGGGUGCCAAAGCAGAGCGCGUGAACUUAAGCACUCGGCCACAGGGCCAGCCCCUAAGCAUGAAGUUUAAAUGGAAUGUUUAACAACUGGGUAACGAUCAGUGGAGGGUUGACUGAGCUCCCAGGACUCCAACUCCACCAGCCUCCCAGGUGACGUCCUGAGACAGUGCUUCUCAGACCCUCCUCCUCAGGCUCGGCGGGCAUGCCCUUGAGAUCAGGAUAAAGAAAACUUCCAGCACCUCACAAGAGUCCCUCUUGCUUCUUCCCAGUCUGCAUCCCAACCCAACGGGAGCAGCACCUGUGUACUCAUUUAUUCUUCAGUCGUGCCCAGCUUGGGGACCGAUUUCCAUGGAGAUUACCUAGAGCUUUGUGCAGAACAGCUGCAGUCCAGGCUUUGCUGUGGUGAUUGUCUUCUGCCGGUCCCUGUGUGCUGUCACGGCCGCAAUGCUGACGGAGCUGCUCAGGAAGCCAGAUGAGAGCUUGGUGACACUGCGAAGAUGCUGGUGGCAGAUGGAGUGGCAGAGCAGGCAGCAAGCAAGCUGGAAUAUGGAUGUUCUGUCUCGGGAAAGGUUUUGCACAGCAGAAAAGAAGCGGGGUCAGAAACAAGUGCCAGAGGCAGGCAUGCAACUGUGGGCCAAGUGACAUCCUGCAUGCCAGGAGGAGGACGGCAUCGGCCACGUUCCCACACAGACUGGGGACUCCGGGGAAGAAAGACACUCUCCAUUUUUUCACGUGCUUCACGUGGAAGCUUUCUGUGAGAGGAAAUCUGCGGUAUUGGGGGAACCCAUUCCCGUGUGUGCUGUGUACAACUGGAGGUAUUUUAAGGGGGUGGAAACUUACUGCCUACCCACUCUUUGUACAGAUGUGCUCCUGUUGAUUAAAGGAAUUGGCCCUAG
ensembl:lncRNA